rnacentral:rRNA from 1 species
AUUGAACGCUGGCGGCAGGCCUAACACAUGCAAGUCGAGCGGAUGAAGGGAGCUUGCUCCUGGAUUCAGCGGCGGACGGGUGUGUAAUGCCUAUGAAUCUGCCUGGUAGUGGGGGAUAACGUCCGGAAACGGGCGCUAAUACCGCAUACGUCCUGAUGUAGAAAGUGGGGGAUCUUCGGACCUCUCGCUAUCAUAUGAGCCUAGGUCGGAUUAGCUAGUUGGUGGGGUAAAGGCCUACCAAGGCGACGAUCCGUAACUGGUCUGAGAGGAUGAUCAGUCACACUGGAACGGAGACACGGUCCAGACUCCUACGGGAGGCAGCAGUGGGGAAUAUUGGACAAUGGGCGAAAGCGUGAUACAGCCAUGCCGCGUGUGUGAAGAAGGUCUUCGGAUUGUAAAGCACUUUAAGUUGGGAGGAAGGGAAGUAAGUUAAUACCUUGCUGUAUUGACGUUAACAACAGAAUAAGCACCGGCUAACUUCGUG